UACAGGGGGGGCAAGCGUUGUUCGGAAUUACUGGGCGUAAAGGGUUCGUAGGUGGCCACUUAAGUCAGACGUGAAAUCCCUCAGCUUAACUGGGGAACUGCGUCUGAUACUGAGUGGCUUGAGUGCAGGAGAGGAAUGCGGAAUUCCAGGUGUAGCGGUGAAAUGCGCAGAUAUCAGGAGGAACACCGGUGGCGAAGGCGGUUCUCUGGGCAUUACCUGACGCUGAGGAGCGAAAGUGUGGGGAGCAAACAGG
rnacentral:rRNA from 1 species